rnacentral:rRNA from 1 species
UGGGAAUCUUGGACAAUGGGGGCAACCCUGAUCCAGCAAUGCCGCGUGUGGGAUGAAGGCCUUCGGGUUGUAAACCACUUUUGGCGGGGGCGAAAUAUCGAGUGCUAAUACCAUUCGGUGAUGACGGUACCCGCAGAAUAAGCACCGGCUAACUACGUGCCAGCAGCCGCGGUAAUACGUAGGGUGCAAGCGUUAAUCGGAAUUACUGGGCGUAAAGCGUGCGCAGGCGGUUAGGUAAGACAGGUGUGAAAUUCCCGGGCUCAACCUGGGAACUGCAUUUGUGACUGCCUGACUAGAGUGCGGCAGAGGGGAGUGGAAUUCCGCGUGUAGCAGUGAAAUGCGUAGAUAUGCGGAGGAACACCGAUGGCGAAGGCAACUCCCUGGGCCUGCACUGACGCUCAUGCACGAAAAGCGUGGGGAGCAAAACAGGAUUAGAUACCCUGGUAGUCCACGCCCUAAACGAUGUCGACUAGUUGUUGGACGGGUUACUGUUCAGUAACGAAGCUAACGCGUGAAGUCGACCGCCU